rnacentral:tRNA from 1 species
GCGGAUAUAGCUCAGUUGGUUAGAGUAUCGGUUUGUGGAUCCGAGGGUCGUGGGUUCAAAUCCCACUAUUCGCC